rnacentral:rRNA from 1 species
GGUUAAGCGACUAAGCGUACACGGUGGAUGCCCUGGCAGUCAGAGGCGAUGAAGGACGUGCUAAUCUGCGAUAAGCGUCGGUAAGGUGAUAUGAACCGUUAUAACCGGCGAUUUCCGAAUGGGGAAACCCAGUGUGAUUCGUCACACUAUCAUUACGUGAAUACAUAGCGUAAUGAAGCGAACCGGGGGAACUGAAACAUCUAAGUACCCCGAGGAAAAGAAAUCAACCGAGAUUCCCCCAGUAGCGGCGAGCGAACGGGGAGCAGCCCAGAGUCUGAAUCAGCUUGUGUGUUAGUGGAACGGUCUGGAAAGUCCGACGGUACAGGGUGAUAGUCCCGUACACCAAAAUGCACAGGUUGUGAACUCGAAGAGUAGGGCGGGACACGUGGUAUCCUGUCUGAAUAUGGGGGGACCAUCCUCCAAGGCUAAAUACUCCUGACUGACCGAUAGUGAACCAGUACCGUGAGGGAAAGGCGAAAAGAACCCCGGCGAGGGGAGUGAAAAAGAACCUGAAACCGUGUACGUACAAGCAGUGGGAGCAUCCUUUUGGGUGUGACUGCGUACCUUUUGUAUAAUGGGUCAGCGACUUAUAUUCUGUAGCAAGGUUAACCGUAUAGGGGAGCCGAAGGGAAACCGAGUCUUAACUGGGCGUUAAGUUGCAGGGUAUAGACCCGAAACCCGGUGAUCUAGCCAUGGGCAGGUUGAAGGUUGGGUAACACUAACUGGAGGACCGAACCGACUAAUGUUGAAAAAUUAGCGGAUGACUUGUGGCUGGGGGUGAAAGGCCAAUCAAACCGGGAGAUAGCUGGUUCUCCCCGAAAGCUAUUUAGGUAGCGCCUCGUGAAUUCAUCUUCGGGGGUAGAGCACUGUUUCGGCUAGGGGGUCAUCCCGACUUACCAACCCGAUGCAAACUGCGAAUACCGAAGAAUGUUAUCACGGGAGACACACGGCGGGUGCUAACGUCCGUCGUGAAGAGGGAAACAACCCAGACCGCCAGCUAAGGUCCCAAAGUCAUGGUUAAGUGGGAAACGAUGUGGGAAGGCACAGACAGCCAGGAUGUUGGCUUAGAAGCAGCCAUCAUUUAAAGAAAGCGUAAUAGCUCACUGGUCGAGUCGGCCUGCGCGGAAGAUGUAACGGGGCUAAACCAUGCACCGAAGCUGCGGCAGCGACACUAUGUGUUGUUGGGUAGGGGAGCGUUCUGUAAGCCGUUGAAGGUGUAUCGUGAGGUAUGCUGGAGGUAUCAGAAGUGCGAAUGCUGACAUAAGUAACGAUAAUGCGGGUGAAAAACCCGCACGCCGGAAGACCAAGGGUUCCUGUCCAACGUUAAUCGGGGCAGGGUGAGUCGACCCCUAAGGCGAGGCCGAAAGGCGUAGUCGAUGGGAAACAGGUUAAUAUUCCUGUACUUGGUGUUACUGCGAAGGGGGGACGGAGAAGGCUAUGUUAGCCGGGCGACGGUUGUCCCGGUUUAAGCAUGUAGGCGGAGGUUCCAGGUAAAUCCGGUACCUUUUUAACGCUGAGGUGUGAUGACGAGGCACUACGGUGCUGAAGUAACAAAUGCCCUGCUUCCAGGAAAAGCCUCUAAGCAUCAGGUAACACGAAAUCGUACCCCAAACCGACACAGGUGGUCAGGUAGAGAAUACCAAGGCGCUUGAGAGAACUCGGGUGAAGGAACUAGGCAAAAUGGUGCCGUAACUUCGGGAGAAGGCACGCUGAUAUGUAGGUGAAGUGAUUUACUCAUGGAGCUGAAAUCAGUCGAAGAUACCAGCUGGCUGCAACUGUUUAUUAAAAACACAGCACUGUGCAAACACGAAAGUGGACGUAUACGGUGUGACGCCUGCCCGGUGCCGGAAGGUUAAUUGAUGGGGUUAUCCGUAAGGAGAAGCUCUUGAUCGAAGCCCCGGUAAACGGCGGCCGUAACUAUAACGGUCCUAAGGUAGCGAAAUUCCUUGUCGGGUAAGUUCCGACCUGCACGAAUGGCGUAAUGAUGGCCAGGCUGUCUCCACCCGAGACUCAGUGAAAUUGAACUCGCUGUGAAGAUGCAGUGUACCCGCGGCAAGACGGAAAGACCCCGUGAACCUUUACUAUAGCUUGACACUGAACACUGGUCCUUGAUGUGUAGGAUAGGUGGGAGGCUUUGAAGUGUGGACGCCAGUCUGCAUGGAGCCAUCCUUGAAAUACCACCCUUUAAUGGCUGGUGUUCUAACGUGGACCCGUAAUCCGGGUUGCGGACAGUGUCUGGUGGGUAGUUUGACUGGGGCGGUCUCCUCCUAAAGAGUAACGGAGGAGCACGAAGGUUAGCUAAUCCUGGUCGGACAUCAGGAGGUUAGUGCAAAGGCAUAAGCUAGCUUGACUGCGAGAGUGACGGCUCGAGCAGGUGCGAAAGCAGGUCUUAGUGAUCCGGUGGUUCUGAAUGGAAGGGCCAUCGCUCAACGGAUAAAAGGUACUCCGGGGAUAACAGGCUGAUACCGCCCAAGAGUUCAUAUCGACGGCGGUGUUUGGCACCUCGAUGUCGGCUCAUCACAUCCUGGGGCUGAAGUAGGUCCCAAGGGUAUGGCUGUUCGCCAUUUAAAGUGGUACGCGAGCUGGGUUUAGAACGUCGUGAGACAGUUCGGUCCCUAUCUGCCGUGGGCGCUGGAGAAUUGAGGGGGGCUGCUCCUAGUACGAGAGGACCGGAGUGGACGCAUCACUGGUGUUCGGGUUGUCAUGCCAAUGGCAUUGCCCGGUAGCUAAAUGCGGAAGAGAUAAGUGCUGAAAGCAUCUAAGCACGAAACUUGCCCCGAGAUGAGUUCUCCCUGAGACUUUAAGUCUCCUGAAGGAACGUU